GAUGAACGCUGGCGGCGUGCCUAAUACAUGCAAGUCGAGCGAACAGACGAGGAGCUUGCUCCUCUGACGUUAGCGGCGGACGGGUGAGUAACACGUGGAUAACCUACCUAUAAGACUGGGAUAACUUCGGGAAACCGGAGCUAAUACCGGAUAAUAUAUUGAACCGCAUGGUUCAAUAGUGAAAGACGGGUUUGCUGUCACUUAUAGAUGGAUCCGCGCCGCAUUAGCUAGUUGGUAAGGUAACGGCUUACCAAGGCAACGAUGCGUAGCCGACCUGAGAGUGUGAUCGGCCACACUGGAACUGAGACACGGUCCAGACUCCUACGGGAGGCAGCAGUAGGGAAUCUUCCGCAAUGGGCGAAAGCCUGACGGAGCAACGCCGCGUGAGUGAUGAAGGUCUUCGGAUCGUAAAACUCUGUUAUUAGGGAAGAACAAAUGUGUAAGUAACUAUGCACGUCUUGACGGUACCUAAUCAGAAAGCCACGGCUAACUACGUG
rnacentral:rRNA from 1 species